AGAAAAUGGAUUCCCCAAGCAAGUUUCCAGGCUUAAAUGAUGAUGAGGAGGUGGAGGCCCUUCGGAGAGAGGGACAAUUGUUUAUUUAUUCAAUCCUGGAUGAAGCCCUGCCGCGCCGGGACCUCUACUCCUGCGGCGUCCGGGUCUUCUGGCGCUGCUUGGACUUCCUGGUGCGACAGGUGAGGCUGCGGCGUGUUUUCCAACAGAAGGCCGCCAGAGAAAAGGAGGUUAAUAAAGUCCUCAAUAGGAAGCUGGAGGAGGCCCUGCGGCUCAUUGAGGUGCUGCAGGCCACGGGGUCCUUUGAACAGGAUGAGCAAACACAGACGUCCACGCAGAUGGAGGAGAUGGAAUAGUUUUUUUUUUUUAAAUAGUUCAAUAUUGUUUGUUACUUGUU